GUGGGGAAUAUUGCACAAUGGGCGAAAGCCUGAUGCAGCGACGCCGCGUGAGCGAAGAAGUAUUUCGGUAUGUAAAGCUCUAUCAGCAGGGAAGAUAAUGACGGUACCUGACUAAGAAGCACCGGCUAAAUACGUGCCAGCAGCCGCGGUAAUACGUAUGGUGCAAGCGUUAUCCGGAUUUACUGGGUGUAAAGGGAGCGCAGGCGGUGCGGCAAGUCUGAUGUGAAAGCCCGGGGCUCAACCCCGGUACUGCAUUGGAAACUGUCGUACUAGAGUGUCUGAGGGGUAAGCGGAAUUCCUAGUGUAGCGGUGAAAUGCGUAGAUAUUAGGAGGAACACCAGUGGCGAAGGCGGCUUACUGGACGAUAACUGACGCUGAGGCUCGAAAGCGUGGGGAGCAAACAGGAUUAGAUACCCGUGUAGUCC
rnacentral:rRNA from 1 species